rnacentral:rRNA from 1 species
UACGUAGGGGGCAAGCGUUGUCCGGAAUCAUUGGGCGUAAAGAGCGCGUAGGCGGCCCAGUAAGUCCGCUCUGAAAGUCAGAGGCUCAACCUCUGAAUGCGGGUGGAUACUGCGGGGCUAGAGUGCAGAAGGGGCAACUGGAAUUCUCGGUGUAGCGGUGAAAUGCGUAGAUAUCGAGAGGAACACCUGCGGCGAAGGCGGGUUGCUGGGCUGACACUGACGCUGAUGUGCGAAAGCUAGGGGAGCGAACGGG